UCCUUCAUCGAUAUCGCGAUGUACGUGUACGUUGCUGUACUUUGCAUUGGAUGUUAAACCACGGAGUGCAGUGCACUGUUUAUUUACGCGCUUUAUAUGUUGUAUUUGUUAAUGUUCUUCUGGUUUAGCAGUAUUAGUAGCGAUUUGUAAAAGAAAUGAGUGAAAGGUAAAGAGAUUAUCCCAGCGGCGCUGAGAACAGAAAAAUUAAACAGAAAAGGGACGAGGUUAUAAAAAAAGUGCCCAAAAUUUCUUCAUUUUUUCAGAGACAAGAUACUGUGAGUGAUUUAGAUUGGAAAGAUUCUUCUGAAGCAUGUUCUUCGUCAAUUAUCCAUCCGGAAAUAGAAGAAAGCCAAGCACAUACUUUAUCGGAUGUCCAUCCAGAAAUCGAGGAACCCCAAGUCAACGAUUCUGAUAUAUCUGCAGAUUGUAAUAUAAUUUCAUCAGAUAGAGGAAAUUUUGGUGACAAUUUAACUAAAUGCGAACGAAAAAUAAUUUUUAAAUUAUGUCCAUUUAAACCACAAGGACCAUUUCCAAAAGUUUCAGAAACGAACCGACCUUUUUCGGCUUAUUAUAAUAUUAUUCAUAUUUCAAUCAGGCAGGCAUAAAAAUUAUAAGACCAUGGUUAUGUUAUUCUAACGUUUUAAACAAACCGUACUGUCACUUCUGUUGGUUAUUAGCAGAUCGUCAAAACAAAUCGUACUCCUCUGCUUGGGUUAACGGUGUUUCGGUUAGAAGCAAUUUCACACGAACUAUUCUUGACCAUGAAAAGUCACAGCAGCAUAUUAGUGCCUCACUCUCUUAUAAUAAUUGGUUGCAAGGAAAUACCAUCGAUACUCUAUUGAAAAGUGAAAUCGAUAGUAAAAUUACAUUCUGGAGAGAUGUACUGCAUCGUAUAAUUAAUGUUAUAAUUACUUUAGUAUCUUGUAAUCUACCUUUGAGGGGGCAUGAUUCUGAUUCUGGCAAUUUUAUGGCAAUUUCACGUCUGCUAUCUAACUAUGAUGCAACUUUAAAAGAACUUCUUCUAAAACCGAAAGGUGAAAUAAAUUAUUUAAGCCCUACGAUUCAAAA